GUGAGUCAUCGAAUCUUUGAACGCACCUUGCGCUCUCUGGUAUUCCGGAGAGCAUGCCUGUUUGAGUGUCAUGAACUCUUCAACCCACCGGUUCCUUGUUGGAUCGAGUUGGUGUUUGGAUCUUGAGCGUUGCUGGCUUUACUAGUGUUCUUCGAAUACUGAAUAAGCGUAGCUCGUUCGUAAUACAUUAGCAUCUCAAUUACGAAACUCGGAUUGACUCAGCGUUAUAGACUAUUCGCUGAGGACAUGAGCAAUCAUGGCCGAAUUAAGUUAACUAGAAGCUUCUAAUCCCCCACUAGUCAAAACUAUAAGAUUAGACCUCAGAUCAGGCAGGAUUACCCGCUGAACUUAAGCAUAUCAAUAAGCGGAGG
rnacentral:rRNA from 1 species